GAUGAACGCUAGCGGCAGGCUUAAUACAUGCAAGUCGUGGGGCAGCAGGGGUAGCAAUACCCGCUGGCGACCGGCAAACGGGUGCGGAACACGUACGCAACCUCCCUUUAACUGGAGAAUAGCCCCUCGAAAGAGGGAUUAAUACUCCGUAACAUAUUGAUAAGGCAUCUUAUUACUAUUAUAGCUCCGGCGGUUAAAGAUGGGCGUGCGCCUGAUUAGAUAGUUGGCAGGGUAACGGCCUACCAAGUCUGCGAUCAGUAACUGGUGUGAGAGCACGACCAGUCACACGGGCACUGAGACACGGGCCCGACUCCUACGGGAGGCAGCAGUAAGGAAUAUUGGUCAAUGGACGCAAGUCUGAACCAGCCAUGCCGCGUGGAGGAUUAAGGCCCUCUGGGUUGUAAACUCCUUUUAUCUGGGAAGAAAUGCUAUUUUUUCUAAAGUGCUUGACGGUACCAGAGGAAUAAGCACCGGCUAACUCCGUGCCAG
rnacentral:rRNA from 1 species